GGGGGGGGGGGGGGGGGGGGUGGGGACAGGCGGGGGGGGGGGGGGGGCCGUGCGGUUGGGGGGUGCGCGAGGGGCGAACGGGUGAGUAAAACGUGAGUAACGUGCCCCUGUCUUUGGGAUACCGUCUGGAGACUCGGGCUAAAAUAGGAUAGGAGCUACUGCUGCACGGUGGGGGGUGUAAAGCUUCGGCGGUUGGGUAUGGUCUGGCGGCUUAUCAGCCUGCUGGUGGGGUAGUGGCUUACCAAGGCUCUGACGGUCAGCCGGCCUGAGAGGGUGGCCGGCCACAUUGGUACUGAGAUACGGACCAGACUCCUACGGGACGCAGCGGGCGAGAGUAUUACGCAGUGGGCGGGAGCCUGAGGCGGCAGCGCCGCGUGCGGGAUGACGGCCUUCGGGUUGUAAACCGCUUUCGCCUGUGACGAAGCGUGAGUGACGGUAAUGGGUAAAAAAGCACCGGCUAACUACGUG
rnacentral:rRNA from 1 species